CACAGCACACUCUCGUCGUCCUCCACCUCCCUCCUCCUCCUCCUCCUCCACCUCCACCUCCACCUCCUCCGCAAAGCACUGUGCAGAGCAGAACCUACCUAGUACCUACAGUGACAUUGCAUCACUUCGCAGAAAGUUUUCAAUCUGCAGUUGCUCUGAGGCUAUGAUGUGCCCCUCUGAUAAUAUCUCCGGUCCCAGCGAGGUUCAGGCAAUAGUUCUAAAGCUUUCCGAGAGUGAUCCCCUGUAUGGUAAAAAGAAGAAAAUAUUGGAAGGCAGCAGCGCUUCUGUUGAACUGCGAGUUCCACUUCAAAGUUCUCCAUCUUCUGAAUGGAUAAACACUACUGUGAAAGCAAUGUUGCAGAUAUCAAGAAUAAUUCACUUGGACGAGGCCGAUCUUUAUUUUUUUGAAGAUUCAACGGAGGGGUGUUACUCCCCCAAGAAUGAAAUGGAGGCUCUUAAUUCAAUGAUUUCUCUCAUUGACAGCUCACUCACCAAUUCCAACUGCUUGCACGGGCAUGUGCUGCGUGGCUUAAGAGAUGCAAUUGUCAAUUUGCUAUCAGAGUUUGGGUAUAGGAAUGGGAUGGAUGAUACCACCAUGAAAUCCCACAAAUGUGAUGAAGAAAGCUAUUUAUUGCAAUGGGGUGAAAGAAUCGGUGUCCAGUCGAGGUUGCAGAUUGCUCAUAUUGAAGGAUUUGGUAGAGGGGCUACUGCCAAGGAAGAUCUAAAAGUUGGAGACAUUGCCUUGGAGAUUCCAGUGCAUGCUAUCAUUUGUGAGGAGACCAUGCUUGAAUCUGACUUGCACCCAGUAUUGCAGAAAAUUGAUGGCAUUUCUGUUGAGACAAUGCUAUUACUUUGGAGCAUGAAGGAGAGAUAUAAUCCUUCUUCGAAAUUUAAGAUGUACUUUGAGACACUACCCAAAGAAUUUAAUACCGGUUUGAGUUUUGGAGUUAAUGCAAUCAUGGCUUUGGACGGAACUCCAUUGUUCGAAGAGCUAAUGCAAGCAAAAGAGCAUUUGAGGACUCAGUACGAGGAGCUCUUUCCAGCACUAUGCAAUGCUCAUCUCGAUAAAUUCCCCCCUGAUCUCUACACGUGGGACCACUAUCUAUGGGCAUGUGAGCUCUGGUACUCCAACAGCAUGAAAGUCCAGUUUGCAGAUGGGAAACUCAGGACUUGCUUGAUUCCCAUUGCGGGAUUUCUGAACCAUUCGCUGUAUCCACACAUAACCCGAUAUGGCAAAAUAGACCCAGUGACGAACACGUUGAAGUUUCCCAUGUCUAGACCGUGUCGAGCAGGAGAACAGUGCUACCUUAGUUAUGGAAACUUCUCAAACUCGCAUCUAAUCACUUUCUAUGGUUUUUUACCCCAAGGGGAUAACCCAUACGAUGUCAUUUCUCUUGAUAUUGAUUGUGGCUCUGAUGGUGGUGAUGAUGGAGCAGAAUGUUGCAACCAAACCACUCAUAUGGUGCGGGGUACAUGGUUCUCAAAUGACCACAACGUUUUCCAUUAUGGGUUGCCAUCUCCAUUACUAGAUUAUUUGCGAAAAGCUCAGGAUUCUUCCUCAGAUAUCAAUUCCCCUCUAUGCAAGCCAAUGAAGAUGCAAGUUGGCUAUUGGGUACGAGGAUUUGAUCAAAGUUCUGUGGACCCCAUUUCAUGAGAUCAGACUGUAUGGAGUGGUUGAAACAGGGACUCGUGAUGUGUUUUUUGUGCCUGUAGUCAUAUCGAACAAAAGGCUGCAGGAUAAAUUGAAGAUUGAAGUUCAGGUUCUCGAGGACCUUUAUGCUACUUUCAGCGGCAUGAUGGAAAAUCUUGGUGACUCAGAUUCUGAUGCUGGAGAUAAUGUUGACUGGGAUGUGAAUCUAGUGUUGAAGUACAAAGAUCUCCAAAGGAGAAUCAUCUCGUCGAUACUGAGCUCAUGCAGCUCCGGUCUGAAGAUGUUGGAGGAUGAACUAUGUAGGUUUGCCUCUGGAGACCUCACCUCAAAGAGUGAAACUGCCACCAGUUUCCUUCUUGAGACAGUGUAACAUAGUCAAGAACAGACUUGUGGGUCUAGGAUUUUUCCAAUGUGGAGAGCUUGUGCUGUUACGCCAAUGUCAAUAACCUAGUACACAGCGGUUACCAGUUUCUUGAGAAGCGUUUUUUUGGGUCUGUCAUUUUAAUUGAAGCGUGUUAUGGAAUUAAAUCACUGAUCGUUGUGGGGAUUA